GACGAACGCUGGCGGCGUGCUUAACACAUGCAAGUCGAACGGAAAGGCCCUGCUUUUGUGGGGUGCUCGAGUGGCGAACGGGUGAGUAACACGUGAGUAACCUGCCCUUGACUUUGGGAUAACUUCAGGAAACUGGGGCUAAUACCGGAUAGGAGCUCCUGCUGCAUGGUGGGGGUUGGAAAGUUUCGGCGGUUGGGGAUGGACUCGCGGCUUAUCAGCUUGUUGGUGGGGUAGUGGCUUACCAAGGCUUUGACGGGUAGCCGGCCUGAGAGGGUGACCGGCGACAUUGGGACUGAGAGAGGGACCAGACUCCUACGGGAGGCAGCAGUGGGGAAUAUUGCACAAUGGGCGGAAGCCUGAUGCAGCAACGCCGCGUGCGGGAUGACGGCCUUCGGGGUGUAAACCGCUUUCGCCUGUGACGAAGCGUGAGUGACGGUAAUGGGUAAAGAAGCACCGGCUAACUACGUG
rnacentral:rRNA from 1 species